GGGGUUGUGGCUCAGUAAUAGAGCACUUGCCUGGCAUGUGUGAGGCUCUGGGUUCAAUUCUCAGCACCA
rnacentral:tRNA from 1 species